rnacentral:lncRNA from 1 species
AGAGGCAGGCGGAUUUCUGAGUUCGAAGCCAGCCUGGUCUACAGAGUGAGUUCCAGGACAGCCAGGGCUAUACAGAGAAACCCUGUCUAGAAAACCCAAAAAAAAAAAAAAAAAAAAAAAAAAAAAGGACUGAUCUUUUUACUUUACAUAUUAACUACCAGAUCCACAUUUUCUUCUGAUUAUGAUCUGUAAUAACAACUACAUACUCCUGUGUCUGUGAAUUUGACUGUUUUAAAAGAAUCACAUCAUUUGUCCUUUUGUGACUGGUUUAUUUUACUUAGCAUGUUUUCAAGAACUAUACAUGUUGCAACAUGGAUAACACGUGUGUAAAAAGUCCCUUGCUUGCUAGGGGGAAUCUCGUGGUAGAAUGUUUGCCUAUUUUUGGCUGCUUGAAUUGCAAAAAAUGAUGAAUGGCCAUGGGUGAAAGAUAAUUGAAUUCUUGCUUUCAAAUUUUAAAACAAGGGUUUUUUGUUGUUUUGUUUGUUUGCUUGUUUGUUUUCCCGAGACAGGAUUUCUCUGUAUAGCCCUGGCUGUCCUGGAACUCACUCUGUAGACCAGGUUGGCCUCAAAUUCAGAAAUCCACCUGCCUCUGCCUCCCGAGUGCUGGGAUUAAAGGCAUGCGCCACUACUGCCUGGCUUUAAAACAAGUUUUAAAAUUAUAUUUGUAAACUUUCUGCACACAUGCAUGUGCGUGCACAUACACAUACCACAGUGCACAUGUGGAAGUUAAUAAACAACUGGGAGGAGUCAGUUCUCAGGUCAUCAGGGUUGGUGGCUUUAAAAUCUCUCAUAUUUGAAGCUAAUGGUAACCUGAUGAUUUGUAAUGUAGGCUUAUCUUCUGCAUAAUUAACUAGUGAUUACAGCUGAGCUAACAUUUAUAGAAAAGGCAGAGGAAGUGUGGUGAGCAGUCGCAUUGUUGAUCCUGAGCAAAGUCGGGUCCUUAGGCUUAAACAGCUCUCAUGUCUUUGAACUUAUACUCAGAAUCGCAGAAUCAUACAGUGAUUGUUUCAUUAUUUAAAGGGACUCACACACCUUUUUAUACUGUGCCUACACCAUGUUACAUUCUUAUUAUCAACGAUUGCACAAGGAUUCUUCUCUCUCCGUAGCCUCACUGACACUGAACAUUUUCUGUUUUGUCUUUGACAAUCCCCAUUUUAAUGAAUGUACAGUGAUAUUCUAUUGUGGCUUUGCUUUGCAUUUCUCCAGUGACUAUGACGGUGAGACCGUUUUUACAUUUUAUUGUUUAUUUGGACAUCCUCUUUGGAGAAAUGUCUGUUAGCUCUUUAAUUUUUAAUUGAAUUGCUUACAUUUUAGUUACUUAGGUGCUAUUUUAAAGUUAAUUAAUUUAUUUUUUUCAUCAUUCAUUCAUUCAAUUUUAAAGCAUCUCGCACGCACUUCUAUAGAGAAGAUAUUCAAGUUCAUUGAGUAUAAGCAGGAAAAUUAAAGAAACAGAAAAAUCAUUCAUUCAUAUGUGUGGGCCAAAGGACAACUUUAAAGAAUUUUUCUCUUUCCAACCAUGGUGUUAAAACCUAGGUUGUCAGGACAGGGUUUAUAUUACCAUUCCACAAGAGCAGAAUGGAGGCAUAGUGACAAAAUCCAGGACCAAAGCAAAACCAAACCCUAACAGUAUAAAAUUCUAUAUGAUGUUUGGGACUUGAGUGUCAAAGGAGUAGAUGGCUCAGUCCCACCAGCUUUGCUGCCUGUGACAUACAUCUCCCUCUUGGGCUGAUUCCACUCCCUAUAUGCAACCGUCCUCGGCAGGUAGGUAUCUCACAGCUCUGACAUUGACAACAUAUUGGUCUCUCCAGUACAGUUCAGGCUUCACUUUCAUUGCUUCACAAUUUGAAAUUUAUCUUGUUUGCUAGUCUCUGGCUCACUCAUUAACUACCACAAUCCUAAGGAGGAAAAGAUGGGUUUGCCCCUGAAAAUUCUGUCCAGGAUUUUUCUGUUUCUUUAAUUUUCCUGCUUAUACUCAAUGAAUUUGAAUAUCUUCUUUGUAGAAGUGCGAGAUGCUUUAAAAAUUGUUCACAUAUCUUUGUUUUAUGGGCGUGUGCACUUAUACAAAUGUCUGUGCAUAAAUAUAUGCCAUGUAGUGAUAUAUGGAAAACAGGACACGCUGAAGGAGUCAGCGCUGUCCUUUCAUCACGUGGAUCCCCAGCACUGUUCUCGGCUUGUCGUGCUUGGUGGCACGCACCUCUGAGUGCUGAGCCAUCUUGCUAGCUUGAGAUGCUUUUCUCCUUGUUUUUGUACCUGAUAUAUGGUGUAUGGACUAAGAAGCAAAGAGAAAAAUACGGAGCCAGAACUUAGUAUUCUCUUCAAAGGCAGACCUAGUCCUGAUACUCAGUAGGCAGAGGCAGGCUGUGAGAUUCAGAUCAGCCAGGACUACAUAAUUAAAAUCCUCCCUC